AGCUUCUUGAAAUACGCACCUGUCCCUCGGAUCAGUAAAGGAUGAGUUCAUCGUCGCCCGCCGUGUUGAUCGUUGGUGCUGGUGCCGCUGGUAUCGCUGCCGCAACCCGUCUACUCGAGCAUGGAUUCUACAAUCUUACCAUCCUGGAGGGUGAGAACCGUAUCGGUGGCCGCAUUCACUCCGUACCCCGUGGUGCCAACAUGCUCGACUAUGGAGCCCAAUGGGUGCACGGCAAGGAUAACAAUUUCGUGUUCGAUAUGGCCGACAAGUACGGACUGGUGGAAACGGAGACGCACAAGGAAAAUGAUCUCUACUAUCGCUCUAACGGUGAGCCGGUACCGAAGGAAGUAUCCGAUCGGAUGAUGGAAACAUUGCACAGCUUGCUACAAUCUCACAUGGAUUCGCUGAAAGAUUUCUCCGGCUCUCUAGGAGCGUUCUAUGAUCAAGUGUUCCGCGAUGCGCUACAGGCGGGAAAGUUUGGCGAUGUGGAUAAGCGGACCUGUAAUCAGCUGUACGAUUUCUUUAUCAAGUACGAGAACACGUACAAUGCGACCGACACCCUGUAUGAGGUGUCCGGUGCUGGAUUGCUCGAGUUCGAGGACAACCAGGACGAGUAUCUUAUAAACUGGAAGAACCGUGGCUUUCACACGCUGCUCGAUUUGCUCAUGAAAAAACUUCCGGAGCAACACGCUAAACCAAUUUCGCUAGAGCAGUACGUGAGGUUGAAUCAUACCGUGAGCUCAAUCCGCUGGCGAGACUCCGACGGACCCGGCAACGAACAAUCGGUCACAGUGACCUGUACCAAUGGUGCGAGCUUUCACGCGACCCAUCUCAUCGUGACCGUAUCGCUCGGAGUGCUACAGGAGCAGCACAGUCGCUGGUUCGAUCCGCCGCUUCCGUUCACCAAGCGGAAUGCCAUCGAAGGGCUGUACAUUGGCACGAUCGAUAAAAUGUUUCUUGAGUUCGAGGAACCGUUUUGGCCACGUGACGGUAGCUGGCAUGGAUUCGGUCUACUCUGGGAGCCCCAUGAUCUCGAUCAACUCGAACCGAACCGCCGAUGGUUGGCGAGUGUUUGCAGCUUUUUCGUGCCGGCGCACACGGAACGAUUACUAGUGGCCUGGGUGUACGGAGAGGAUGCCCGCACGAUGGAAACCCUCUCGGAGCGAGACGUUAUCGAGGGUUUGAUGUACUUGUUGCGAAAAUUCAUACCGCACAAUCGCUAUCCAUUCCGUGCCAUUCCAUCGACACCCCGAUGGUUUUCGCGGAGUCGCUGGUACUCGAAUCCACACUUUAGAGGCACCUACACCAGCCGAUCAAUCAAAUCGGACCAGCUAAAUGCAACGGCUGCAGAUUUGGCCACACCUUUGGUUGGUACGCAAUCGCGAGCUCCGAUUGUACAGUUUGCCGGUGAAGCAUCCCAUCCGCAAUUCUACUCGACCGUUCAGGGAGCCGUAGGUAGCGGUUGGCGUGAAGCGAAUCGUCUGAUCGACCUGUAUUCUUCACAUGCUGCAUUGCAUAUUAAGGGAAAACUAUAACGAUCGUUCUCAGAUCGUUCGUGCAAUUAGUAGUUCUUACGCUACCUACUGAUAUUUUUAUUAAAUCGAUUUCGAUCAUUCAUUCUACACGUGAGAUGUGAUACACACGAACGGUUCCUUCUGGGAACCAAGAAACUUAG